GAACCGGAGAGUUUGAUCAUGGCUCAGAUUGAACGCUGGCGGUAGGCUUAACACAUGCAAGUCGGACGGCAGCAGACCGUAACAAUCCCUUCGGGGUGCGUUUGGUGCUGGCGAGUGGCGGACGGGUGAGUAAUACGUAGGAAUCUGCCCAACAGUGGGGGACAACCCGAGGAAACUCGGGCUAAUACCGCAUACGCCCUACGGGGGAAAGCGGGGGACUUUAGGGCCUCGCGCUGUUGGAUGAGCCUGCGGCGGAUUAGCUUGUUGGUGAGGUAAGAGCUCACCAAGGCGACGAUCCGUAGCUGGUCUGAGAGGAUGAUCAGCCACACUGGGACUGAGACACGGCCCAGACUCCUACGGGAGGCAGCAGUGGGG
rnacentral:rRNA from 1 species